rnacentral:rRNA from 1 species
AUUGAACGCUGGCGGCAGGCCUAACACAUGCAAGUCGAGCGAGCGGCGGACGGGUGAGUAAUGUAUGGGGACUGCCCGAUAGAGGGGGAUAACUACUGGAAACGGUAGCUAAUACCGCAUACUAUCGGAUAACCCAUAUGGGAUUAGCUAGUAGGUGAGGUAAUGGCUCACCUAGGCGACGAUCCCUAGCUGGUCUGAGAGGUUGAUCAGCCACACCGGGACCUAGAACAGGCCCAGACCCAUAGGGAGGCAGGCGGGGGGAAUAUUGGAAAAUGGGCGCAAGCCUGAUGCAGCCAUGCCGCGUGUAUGAAGAAGGCCCUAGGGUUGUAAAGUACUUUCAGUCGGGAGGCGUUACCGACAGAAGAAGCACCGGCUAACUCCGUGCCAGCAGCCGCGGUAAUUC